AUUGAACGCUGGCGGCAGGCCUAACACAUGCAAGUCGAGCGAGCGGCGGACGGGUGAGUAAUGUAUGGGGACUGCCCGAUAGAGGGGGAUAACUACUGGAACCGGUAGCUAAUACCGCAUACUAUCGGAUAACCCAUAUGGGAUUAGGUAAGAGGUGAGGUAAUGGCUCACUUGGUCGACGAUCCCUAGCUGGUCUGAGAGGAUGAUCAGCCACCCUGGGACUCAGACACGGCCCAGACUCCCAGGGAGGCAGCAGUGGGGAAUAUUGCACAAUGGGCGCAAGCCUGAGGCAGCCAUGCCGGGUGUAUGAAGAAGGCCCUAGGUUUGUAAAGUACUUUCAGUCGGGAGGCGUUACCGACAGAAGAAGCACCGGCUAACUCCGUGCCAGCAGCCGCGGUAAUAC
rnacentral:rRNA from 1 species